UAAAAGCGUCAGCUAUGAAUGGAACCCCAUUGGAUCUGGUAUUAUGUGGAAAGCUUAUAAUUUUCCUAUAUUCUUACUCUCUGAGGCGAGCAGUCAGAUCAUGCAGGAGAUUGCCACAAAGAAUGAGAGACAAAAGAAUGCUUAUACUGCAGAUGUUGCUGAGUUUGAUUUAGUGAUGCAGACAACAAAAUCUGGGACUCGUGAUUCAGAAUCUUGUUUAAGAGAACAGACUUGCCUUCCUUUAGGUGGAUAUAGUGUUUGGUCAUCGCUUCCACCAAUUAAUAUUACGUCCUCAAAUCAAUCCAAGCCCAUUAUAUUAAUUGUGGCAUCUAUGGAUUCUGCUUCAUUUUUCCGUGACAAAAGCUUAGGUGCAGAAUCUCCUAUUUCUGGUCUAAUUUCCUUACUGGCAGCGGUUGAUUCACUUUCUAGUAUGGAUGGUUUGGGUGAUCUUAGUAAGCAGCUUGUCUUUUCAGUUUUCACCGGGGAGGCAUGGGGCUAUCUUGGCAGCAGGAGAUUUUUGCUUGAACUUGAUUUACAGUCAGAU
rnacentral:misc_RNA from 1 species